rnacentral:rRNA from 1 species
AGGAUGAACGCUGGCGGCGUGCCUAAUACAUGCAAGUCGAGCGAACGGACGAGAAGCUUGCUUCUCUGAUGUUAGCGGCGGACGGGUGAGUAACACGUGGAUAACCUACCUAUAAGACUGGGAUAACUUCGGGAAACCGGGGCUAAUACCGGAUAAUAUUUUGAACCGCAUGGUUCAAAAGUGAAAGACGGUCUUGCUGUCACUUAUAGAUGGAUCCGCGCUGCAUUAGCUAGUUGGUAAGGUAACGGCUUACCAAGGCAACGAUGCAUAGCCGACCUGAG